rnacentral:lncRNA from 1 species
ACUCUUGAGCUGUGGGCCUGGCACCUACCAUUAAGCACUCUCCACUUCUGGCUAAUCCAUCCAGUCCAUCUUAAAGGAAAUCAGUCCUGAAUAUUCACUGGAAGGAGUGAUGCUGAAGCUGAAACUCAAUACUUUGCCCACCUGAUGCGAAGAACUGACUCAUUUGAAAAGACCCUGAUGCUGCAAAAGAUUGAAGUCAGGAAGAGAAGGGGACAACAGAGGAUGAGAUGGCUGGAUGGCAUCACUGACUCAGUGGACUGAGUGGACUCUGGGAGUUGGUGAUGGACAGGGAGGAUUGGCGUCCCGCAGUCCACGGGGUCACAAAAAGUUGGACACGAGUGAGCAACUGAACUGAACUGAACUGAACUGACUUCUGGCCCAUUUCUAUUUAAACCUACUCAAGCCUCUUUCACCCAAUAUUGAGCAAUCAAUAAUGAUAGUAGAAACCCUCAUUCCUAUAACACUAUCCCAUGGCUACCCCUUCUCUUUCUACCACAGCCAAACUUCCCAAGGGGAGAAACAAACACAUUUUUCAACUCAUUAAGUUCAGGCCCCAGGUACUCUUUGAACUGUCAUUCACAGCUACUAAAUUCAGUAGAUAUUUGUCAAGCCUUAUCUUAUUUAAUCUCUUCAUAGCAGUUAACAAUAUUGAUUACUUUCCUUUAAACUUCCUUUUCUCUUGGUUUCCUCAACAUUAUCUUAUCCAAGUUUAAUUUCUAUGUCUCUGGAAAUUUUCCUCAUUGUGCAAUCAUUUACUUUCUUUCUUUUUAAAACUUCUUGGCUGUGCCACGUGGCAUGCAAGCUCUUAAUUCCCUGGCCAGAGUUCAAACCUGCAUCGUGUACAGUGGAAGCACAGUAUCUUAACCACUGGACUGCCAGGAAAGUCCUUGGAGUAAUUUACUUUCUUACUAAAUUUUUGAACAUCUGUCCUUUGCACUUUUUUUCUUUUCAUGUGGCACGAUCGGGCAAACUUGAUUACUCUUUAACUACACUGUAAUACAAAGGUUGGGUUCAAACAGACUCUGUCUUCUACUGGCUGUUUCGUAUUUUCAAAUAAUGAUCAAUACUCCAAUUUUCUGAUACCAACUGGGUGUUCAAUAAUUUAAUUCAAUUAAAACUCCAACUGCUUGGAGUCAGCACACACCUUGGAUUAAGGGCUUAAUCUCCCAAGACUGCUCCCAUUUCAGAUACCGGCUGCAAAUGGGUGCCCAGCUUACUACCACUUCUGCCUGGCUGAAUUAUAAAUUUAGAGAGUCUCAUGCCCCCUCUCCCUGUACACCCUGCCACAAUCCAGUAACUCACAAAACUCAGGACAGCAUAUACUUUCCAUAACAAUUUUAUUAUAAAGGAUAGAACUCAGAGACAACCAAAUGCAAGUCUGGGGUAGAGAUGCGAGGGUGGAGAAGCGUUGGCCCAGAACUUCCACGCCCUCCCAGCCCAUCAAGUUCACCAACUUGAACUCUCCCUCAAACCUUGUCAGAGUUUUUACUUGAGGUUUCAUCAUGUAGGCACAACCAAUGAACUCAUUUGUCACUGGUGAUUGAACUCAACCUCAAUGCCUCUCCCUCCCUAGAGGUCAGGGGUGGACUGAAAGUUCCAAACUCUAAUCACAUAGUUGGUUCCCCAAUUCUAAAGAUAAUUUAGGGUCUCUACCCUGAGUAAUACUCUUCACUAACCUCAUUAGUAUAAAUUCAGGUAUGGUUGAAAAGGGCUUGUUAUGAAUAACAGAAGAUACUCCAUCACUCAGGAAAUUCCCUUUAUGUCUGGGUAUUAGACUCACUUAGGUCUUUUUCCAUCUCUGGUUGUUUCUUCUGUCUCCUUUGAAAGUUCAUCCCCUUUUAUUAAACCUUUAAAUGUUGGCAAUAUUUAAGAUGUGCUUG